GUUUUUUUAUGGAGAGUUUGAUCCUGGCUCAGGAUGAACGCUGGCGGCGUGCUUAACACAUGCAAGUCGAACGAUGAAGCCCAGCU
rnacentral:rRNA from 1 species